rnacentral:lncRNA from 1 species
CAAGGGCAGCUGCAUGAUACCCUGUCCCAAAAAGAAGAGCCAAACAGCUCCAAGGUGCUACGUCAUAAGAGUAGACUAUGGACAGUGAGCUGCUGUGUGGGAAUAACCAACAAGCAGGAAGCUGCCCCCUGGGCCAGGAAACCCGGAUCCUUGCCAGCUCCAGAACCUCACCAGCUCUGCCAGGUGCUAUAGACACGGAAAUGAAGGACUCACUUCCUGUUUCCAUAGCCACAUAACUCCAGUAGAGUCUCAGCUGUGCUGGACAAUCAAGACACUGUCAAGAAGCCAGAGUGAGAGGCGAACCCCUUCAUGGUUGUGUGAGACUCUCAUCCCCAAGAUUCUACAAGACAAGUCAACCCUCACCCUGAACUGCCUCGGCGGAAUACCUUUUAGACUUCCAGGCCUUCCUUGAUCUUCCAACUCUUCUUACCCCUCUGCUGUCUGAGUGCCGGAGCAGUGGGCAUAUACCACCUUGCCCAGCUACAAACUUGGGAUUUUAAAAAACUUGUUAGUACCUGUUGAGACUGAAGUCUAAAGCGUAAUAAAAAGGGUGUUUGUGUUGUC